AGCAAUUUGAAUGCAUGGAGAUGGGCACAUGGGCUUCCAGUUCGAGUGUGCAUUGGCGCAAUCCUUAACAAGCAGGCACGCAAAUGGGUCUAUGUGGGUACAGCGAGGCGGAAACCAGUCUUCACACAAGAUUCAAAUGUGGGAUCAGGCAAAAGCAGGCAUUCAUCCGAGCAAGUCAUGUAGCGAGUGCAGUUUAAAUUUAUCCAUGGAAGUUGGCGAGCAGGGGUGAACGCAAAAAGUAUAACAGCUAAACAGAAGACAAAAUCUAUGGAACAAACACGGAAACUUGUGUGGAUGUAUGAUUUUAUGAAGAAACAUAGUAAAGAUGAUAAGAAGGGGUUAUUGGGAUGCAAAACAAACGCAAUCUGC
rnacentral:lncRNA from 1 species